UAAUUAAUAUCGAUAUAAUAUUUGUCAAAGGAUAACAUAUUAUUCGUCAUAACAAAAAACCAGAACUUUUAACAUCAACAUUCCCUAACUUGCGAUUAGAACCAAUUUUCGAUAGUCCUCUAAAACCUUUAAAGAAAAUGCAUGCCUAGACACUUUUAGACUUACUAAAUGACAUUAGACACCGUUAUUUACGGAUUUGCUCAAAUUCCAGAAGCAGAGAAAUAAAUAUAAGAAAAAAGAAGGGAUAAAUUUUUAAUAAGGAAUGUACAGUGUGAAUGGAUAGAUCAUCAAGGUUUAGCAGGAUCUCCUACGGAUGAAUGAAUUUGGUUCAACACGUUUGACCACUUAACCGAAACUCGUUUAGUAUCAUGAGGUCGUUCAGUUUCUGCAUAUCUCAUCAAUUUCGAUAUUUGCUUUUCGAGAAGUUGUAAAUGUUUUUUCUUGACUUCGUUGUUUUGCUUUUCCAAUGAUCCUAGAAAUUGUUUAGUCCAACUCUCACAGACUUUUUCUAGCAACCCGAAUCGCCCAUGCUUCAUAUAAAAUUUAAUUGAUGUAUCGUAUAUCUCAAUUAUUGGAACACAAUGCCUAUACAUUUGAGAGUACAAACGAAUGAAAAGCUCAAUAUUUUUUAUUCGUGCAUGACCAGCUGGAGCUCUAAAUUGUAAAGAUGCAAUGGACCAAUAUAUUAUGUAGCGCCAGGCUAACUCAGGAAAAUUAAUUUUAUAAACAGAAGUAAGCUUCCUUGACAGAGAUACUGCACUUGAGACAUCACCUAAAUAUCCU